UUUUUUUUUUUUUUUUUUUUUUAGACAGGGUCUCACCAGGCCAGCCCAGGCUGGCCUUGAACUUUCUGCAAUCCUCCUGCCUCAGCCUCCCAAGUGCUAGGAUCACAGGAUCACAGGAUCACCACUACGCCUGGAUUUCCAAUUGCCUUUUCAGCUGUGUAAACCAGGAUUGGGUCCAGCCUGUGACAUAUUCUGUUUGGGGAAUUAUGCACAUCCCAGAAGGAUUUGCUAACAACCCCUAGAAAGAGUCAAGAUCAUCUGGAGGGUGAGAAACAGUAUUUAUACCCAAAAUGACAGC
rnacentral:lncRNA from 1 species